UACGGGGGGGGCAAGCGUUGUUCGGAAUUACUGGGCGUAAAGGGCUCGUAGGCGGCCAACUAAGUCUGAUGUGAAAUCCCCAGGCUUAACCUGGGAACUGCAUCCGAUACUGGAUGGCUUGAAUCCGGGAGAGGGAUGCGGAAUUCCAGGUGUAGCGGUGAAAUGCGUAGAUAUCUGGAGGAACACCGGUGGCGAAGGCGGCAUCCUGGACCGGCAUUGACGCUGAGGAGCGAAAGCCAGGGGAGCAAACGGG
rnacentral:rRNA from 1 species